rnacentral:miRNA from 1 species
UGGACAAGGUUAGAUUUGGUG